rnacentral:rRNA from 1 species
AUUGAACGCUGGCGGCAGGCCUAACACAUGCAAGUCGAGCGAGCGGCGGACGGGUGAGUAAUGUAUGGGGACUGCCCGAUAGAGGGGGAUAACUACAGGAAACGGUAGCUAUUACCGCAUAUUAUCGGCUAAUCCAUAUGGGAUUAGCUAGUGGGUGGGGUAAGGGCUCACCUAGGCGACGAUGCCUAGCUGGUCUGAGAGGAUGAUCAGCCACACUGGGACUGAGACACGGCCCAGACUCCUACGGAGGCAGCAGUGGGGAAUAGUGCACAAUGGGCGCAAGCCUGAUGCAGCCAUGCCGCGUGUAUGAAGAAGGCCCUAGGGUUGUAAAGUACUUUCAGUCGGGAGGCGUUACCGACAGAAGAAGCACCGGCUAACUCCGUGCCAGCCGCCGCGGUAAUUC